rnacentral:rRNA from 1 species
CCUACGGGUGGCAGCAGUCGAGAAUCAUUCACAAUGGGGGAAACCCUGAUGGUGCGACGCCGCGUGGGGGAAUGAAGGUCUUCGGAUUGUAAACCCCUGUCAUGUGGGAGCAAAUUAAAAAGAUAGUACCACAAGAGGAAGAGACGGCUAACUCUGUGCCAGCAGCCGCGGUAAUACAGAGGUCUCAAGCGUUUUUCGGAAUCACUGGGCGUAAAGCGUGCGUAGGCUGUUUCGUAAGUCGUGUGUGAAAGGCGCGGGCUCAACCCGCGGACGGCACAUGAUACUGCGAGACUAGAGUGAUGGAGGGGGAACCGGAAUUCUCGGUGUAGGAGUGAAAUGCGUAGAUAUCGAGAGGAACACUCGUGGCGAAGGCGAGUUCCUGGACAUUAACUGACGCUGAGGAACGAAGGCCAGGGGAGCGAAAGGGAUUAGAUACCCUGGUAGUC